rnacentral:rRNA from 1 species
UGGGGAAUAUUGGACAAUGGGCGAAAGCCUGAUCCAGCCAUGCCGCGUGUGUGAAGAAGGUCUUCGGAUUGUAAAGCACUUUAAGUUGGGAGGAAGGGCAGUAACCUAAUACCUUGCUGUUUUGACGUUACCGACAGAAUAAGCACCGGCUAACUCUGUGCCAGCAGCCGCGGUAAUACAGAGGGUGCAAGCGUUAAUCGGAAUUACUGGGCGUAAAGCGCGCGUAGGUGGUUUGUUAAGUUGGAUGUGAAAGCCCCGGGCUCAACCUGGGAACUGCAUCCAAAACUGGCAAGCUAGAGUACGGAAGAGGGUGGUGGAAUUUCCUGUGUAGCGGUGAAAUGCGUAGAUAUAGGAAGGAACACCAGUGGCGAAGGCGACCACCUGGACUGAUACUGACACUGAGGUGCGAAAGCGUGGGGAGCAAACA